rnacentral:rRNA from 1 species
GGGUUGUGAGGUUAAGCGACUAAGCGUACACGGUGGAUGCCCUGGCAGUCAGAGGCGAUGAAGGACGUGCUAAUCUGCGAUAAGCGUCGGUAAGGUGAUAUGAACCGUUAUAACCGGCGAUUUCCGAAUGGGGAAACCCAGUGUGUUUCGACACACUAUCAUUAACUGAAUCCAUAGGUUAAUGAGGCGAACCGGGGGAACUGAAACAUCUAAGUACCCCGAGGAAAAGAAAUCAACCGAGAUUCCCCCAGUAGCGGCGAGCGAACGGGGAGCAGCCCAGAGCCUGAAUCAGUGUGUGUGUUAGUGGAAGCGUCUGGAAAGGCGCGCGAUACAGGGUGACAGCCCCGUACACAAAAAUGCACAUGCUGUGAGCUCGAUGAGUAGGGCGGGACACGUGGUAUCCUGUCUGAAUAUGGGGGGACCAUCCUCCAAGGCUAAAUACUCCUGACUGACCGAUAGUGAACCAGUACCGUGAGGGAAAGGCGAAAAGAACCCCGGCGAGGGGAGUGAAAAAGAACCUGAAACCGUGUACGUACAAGCAGUGGGAGCACGCUUAGGCGUGUGACUGCGUACCUUUUGUAUAAUGGGUCAGCGACUUAUAUUCUGUAGCAAGGUUAACCGAAUAGGGGAGCCGAAGGGAAACCGAGUCUUAACUGGGCGUUAAGUUGCAGGGUAUAGACCCGAAACCCGGUGAUCUAGCCAUGGGCAGGUUGAAGGUUGGGUAACACUAACUGGAGGACCGAACCGACUAAUGUUGAAAAAUUAGCGGAUGACUUGUGGCUGGGGGUGAAAGGCCAAUCAAACCGGGAGAUAGCUGGUUCUCCCCGAAAGCUAUUUAGGUAGCGCCUCGUGAAUUCAUCUCCGGGGGUAGAGCACUGUUUCGGCAAGGGGGUCAUCCCGACUUACCAACCCGAUGCAAACUACGAAUACCGGAGAAUGUUAUCACGGGAGACACACGGCGGGUGCUAACGUCCGUCGUGAAGAGGGAAACAACCCAGACCGCCAGCUAAGGUCCCAAAGUCAUGGUUAAGUGGGAAACGAUGUGGGAAGGCCCAGACAGCCAGGAUGUUGGCUUAGAAGCAGCCAUCAUUUAAAGAAAGCGUAAUAGCUCACUGGUCGAGUCGGCCUGCGCGGAAGAUGUAACGGGGCUAAACCAUGCACCGAAGCUGCGGCAGCGACGCUGAUGCGUUGUUGGGUAGGGGAGCGUUCUGUAAGCCUGCGAAGGUGUGCUGUGAGGCAUGCUGGAGGUAUCAGAAGUGCGAAUGCUGACAUAAGUAACGAUAAAGCGGGUGAAAAGCCCGCUCGCCGGAAGACCAAGGGUUCCUGUCCAACGUUAAUCGGGGCAGGGUGAGUCGACCCCUAAGGCGAGGCCGAAAGGCGUAGUCGAUGGGAAACAGGUUAAUAUUCCUGUACUUGGUGUUACUGCGAAGGGGGGACGGAGAAGGCUAUGUUGGCCGGGCGACGGUUGUCCCGGUUUAAGCGUGUAGGCUGGUUUUCCAGGCAAAUCCGGAAAAUCAAGGCUGAGGCGUGAUGACGAGGCACUACGGUGCUGAAGCAACAAAUGCCCUGCUUCCAGGAAAAGCCUCUAAGCAUCAGGUAACAUCAAAUCGUACCCCAAACCGACACAGGUGGUCAGGUAGAGAAUACCAAGGCGCUUGAGAGAACUCGGGUGAAGGAACUAGGCAAAAUGGUGCCGUAACUUCGGGAGAAGGCACGCUGAUAUGUAGGUGAAGUCCCUCGCGGAUGGAGCUGAAAUCAGUCGAAGAUACCAGCUGGCUGCAACUGUUUAUUAAAAACACAGCACUGUGCAAACACGAAAGUGGACGUAUACGGUGUGACGCCUGCCCGGUGCCGGAAGGUUAAUUGAUGGGGUCAGCGCAAGCGAAGCUCUUGAUCGAAGCCCCGGUAAACGGCGGCCGUAACUAUAACGGUCCUAAGGUAGCGAAAUUCCUUGUCGGGUAAGUUCCGACCUGCACGAAUGGCGUAAUGAUGGCCAGGCUGUCUCCACCCGAGACUCAGUGAAAUUGAACUCGCUGUGAAGAUGCAGUGUACCCGCGGCAAGACGGAAAGACCCCGUGAACCUUUACUAUAGCUUGACACUGAACAUUGAGCCUUGAUGUGUAGGAUAGGUGGGAGGCUUUGAAGUGUGGACGCCAGUCUGCAUGGAGCCGACCUUGAAAUACCACCCUUUAAUGUUUGAUGUUCUAACGUUGACCCGUAAUCCGGGUUGCGGACAGUGUCUGGUGGGUAGUUUGACUGGGGCGGUCUCCUCCUAAAGAGUAACGGAGGAGCACGAAGGUUGGCUAAUCCUGGUCGGACAUCAGGAGGUUAGUGCAAUGGCAUAAGCCAGCUUGACUGCGAGCGUGACGGCGCGAGCAGGUGCGAAAGCAGGUCAUAGUGAUCCGGUGGUUCUGAAUGGAAGGGCCAUCGCUCAACGGAUAAAAGGUACUCCGGGGAUAACAGGCUGAUACCGCCCAAGAGUUCAUAUCGACGGCGGUGUUUGGCACCUCGAUGUCGGCUCAUCACAUCCUGGGGCUGAAGUAGGUCCCAAGGGUAUGGCUGUUCGCCAUUUAAAGUGGUACGCGAGCUGGGUUUAGAACGUCGUGAGACAGUUCGGUCCCUAUCUGCCGUGGGCGCUGGAGAACUGAGGGGGGCUGCUCCUAGUACGAGAGGACCGGAGUGGACGCAUCACUGGUGUUCGGGUUGUCAUGCCAAUGGCACUGCCCGGUAGCUAAAUGCGGAAGAGAUAAGUGCUGAAAGCAUCUAAGCACGAAACUUGCCCCGAGAUGAGUUCUCCCUGACUCCUUGAGAGUCCUGAAGGAACGUUGAAGACGACGACGUUGAUAGGCCGGGUGUGUAAGCGCAGCGAUGCGUUGAGCUAACCGGUACUAAUGAACCGUGAGGCUUAACCUUACAACGCCGAAGCUGUU